CAGCAGCCGCGGGAAUACGAAGGGGGCUAGCGUUGCUCGGAAUGACUGGGCGUAAAGGGCGCGUAGGCGGAUCACGCAGUCAGAUGUGAAAUUCCUGGGCUUAACCUGGGGGCUGCAUUUGAGACGCGUGGUCUAGAGUGUGAAAGAGGGUCGUGGAAUUCCCAGUGUAGAGGUGAAAUUCGUAGAUAUUGGGAAGAACACCGGUGGCGAAGGCGGCGACCUGGUUCAUGACUGACGCUGAGGCGCGAAAGCGUGGGGAGCAAACAGGAUUAGAUACCCGCGUAGUCCCUGUCUCUUAUAC
rnacentral:rRNA from 1 species